rnacentral:rRNA from 1 species
GCGAUCAUACCAACACUAAUGCACCGGAUCCCAUCAGAACUCCGAAGUUAAGCGUGCUUGGGCGAGAUCAAUACUAGGAUGGGUGACCCCUUGGGAAGUCCUUGUGUUGCACCU